UACGAAGGGGGCUAGCGUUGCUCGGAAUUACUGGGCGUAAAGCGCACGUAGGCGGUCUUUUAAGUCGGGGGUGAAAUCCUGGAGCUCAACUCCAGAACUGCCUUCGAUACUGGAAGACUUGAGUCCGGGAGAGGUGAGUGGAACUGCGAGUGUAGAGGUGAAAUUCGUAGAUAUUCGCAAGAACACCAGUGGCGAAGGCGGCUCACUGGCCCGGUAUUGACGCUGAGGUGCGAAAGCGUGGGGAGCAAACAGGG
rnacentral:rRNA from 1 species